AGAGUUGAUCAUGGCUCAGGACGAACGCUGGCGGCGUGCCUAAUACAUGCAAGUCGAACGCUUCUUUUUCCACCGGAGCUUGCUCCACCGGAAAAAGAAGAGUGGCGAACGGGUGAGUAACACGUGGGUAACCUGCCCAUCAGAAGGGGAUAACACUUGGAAACAGGUGCUAAUACCGUAUAACAAUCGAAACCGCAUGGUUUUGAUUUGAAAGGCGCUUUCGGGUGUCGCUGAUGGAUGGACCCGCGGUGCAUUAGCUAGUUGGUGAGGUAACGGCUCACCAAGGCCACGAUGCAUAGCCGACCUGAGAGGGUGAUCGGCCACAUUGGGACUGAGACACGGCCCAAACUCCUACGGGAGGCAGCAGUAGGGAAUCUUCGGCAAUGGACGAAAGUCUGACCGAGCAACGCCGCGUGAGUGAAGAAGGUUUUCGGAUCGUAAAACUCUGUUGUUAGAGAAGAACAAGGAUGAGAGUAACUGUUCAUCCCUUGACGGUACCUAAUCAGAAAGCCACGGCUAACUACGUGCCAGCAGCCGCGGUAAUACGUAGGUGGCAAGCGUUAUCCGGAAUUAUUGGGCGUAAAGCGCGCGUAGGCGGUUUCUUAAGUCUGAUGUGAAAGCCCACGGCUCAACCGUGGAGGGUCAUUGGAAACUGGGAAACUUGAGUACAGAAGAGGAAAGUGGAAUUCCAUGUGUAGCGGUGAAAUGCGCAGAGAUAUGGAGGAACACCAGUGGCGAAGGCGACUUUCUGGUCUGUAACUGACGCUGAUGUGCGAAAGCGUGGGGAUCAAACAGGAUUAGAUACCCUGGUAGUCCACGCCGUAAACGAUGAGUGCUAAGUGUUAGGGGGUUUCCGCCCCUUAGUGCUGCAGCUAACGCAUUAAGCACUCCGCCUGGGGAGUACGACCGCAAGGUUGAAACUCAAAGGAAUUGACGG
rnacentral:rRNA from 1 species